GUGCUCACUUCAGCAUCAUAUAUAAUAAAAAUUGGAACAGUACAGAGAAGGUUAGCAUGGCCCCUGUGCAAGGAUGACACACAACUUUGUGAACUGCUCUGUUUCGUG